AGAGGUCCAAAGAAUGCUCGUGAAACUAUGAAAAACAUUGGCCCAGCUUUUGGUGUGCCACACAGCCAUUCCAAACCACAUGUGCGAUCAAAGGGAAGGAAGUUUGUGAGAGUUAGAGGGACAAGGAAUAGCAAAGGAUUUAGAGUUUGAGUUGUUUUUAGUUCCAAAAUGUCAGUCAAUUAUUUUAUUUUUGAUUAUUAUGUCCCAAAUUUUGUUAGACUCUAGGUUCCAAUGGAACUUGUUUAUGUUAUUAUUAAUUCCUAGCUUGAAUUGUUUAUGUUAUCUAUAUAUAAUAUUGAUUGAU
rnacentral:misc_RNA from 1 species